UAGAUUAGAUCACUUGUAUACUACUUUCAAAACAAGCAGAAGUUUAUUAGAUUCCCCAGCUUAUUUGCCCAGUAACUAGCACGUGUCUGUCUCUUGCCCCUCUCCUGCUCCCCCCAAACAAAACAAAAUACAUUUCCCACUAGCAUUUCAAUGGCAGAUUAUCAAAGGCAUAUAUUUUGCAUAGAGGUUCAUUUCAGGAGAACUGCCAUCAGCAGAAAUUCUUGUACAAACAUCCAAGACAGCUGCACAUACUAGUCAGUACAUGAGAGUUUACUCUCUGCCUUGUGAACAUUAUAGCUCUGCAACAGAAGGACUGCUCUUGCUAGCAUCCAAGUUCCAAGAUGACCAAAAAAGCCUAAAACACUUAAGUCGACCUGCUGGACUUUAACUUCCUAGUGAGUGGAAGUCCAACUCUGCACUGCCAAAGAGAAAACAGAAAAGAAAGAAAGAGAUCUUAGACCCUUUUGAAAACUUUUCCAAAAGAACGUGGCAAACUGUGACCUUGAAAACUGUUCAUUGUCAAAAACUCUGGUCAAGUACUCGGGAAGUUAUUAGGAUUCAGUAAUAUUAUAUUUUACAUGGCUGUACCUGAUACAAGCUUAACUCUGAAUGCUUAUUACCAGUGGUAAGUUAUUAGAUUCACUUGGGACUUAUUUCAGUCAACCACGGAAAAAUCUUUGGGUAGAACAGACCAUAGAUAUUUGGGGCAUUUGACACAUUUAAAACUGGGCUGAUUUUUACCCACGUCGAUUCUUACUGUAUUGGAAUGUAAUCCUGUAUGGCAAAGAUUUUAAGAGAGGUCUUAAUACUUUCCAAAGAGGAUGCAUUCUGUCUGGCAUGGUCUAUUUUUAACUUCUUGCUAAUUUUUUUUCUUAAGAGGUCAUUCAAAUGACUUGCAUGUGCUCUAGGCACAAACACCAUCUGCCCCUUUACAUAGGGAACUGCUGGCUUUUGAAAUCUUAUUCACACAGGUAAGGACAUGCAAGUUCUGUGCCUGUUUGUGGAAGCAUGAAUAAGCUGCAAUUCAGCUCAGGCACAGCUACUGAGUCCACCCUGCCCAGCUCUGCCUACCCCCACUCACUGCAGGGUGAUGACCACAGGGCUGCUACUAGCACUAGCAGGCGAGACCCAAGGACAGGACCCCAGACCCCUGCCUCACCCGUCUCAGGCUGCCUAUGCCACUGCCACCAGGAGCUGCAGCAAGGGGGAGCACUGGUGUCGUCCCUGCAUCAUUUUUCCUUUAGCUGCAUCUCAAGCUACAGACAGCCUAUCCCUGUCUCUGGGUCAUGGGGGUAAGAAGCAGAAGGGGGAGCAUGGCACCACCUCUACCUAAUGGGGCCAUGAGAAGCAGCAGGGGAAGGAAAGGAGAUGUGACAACCCAAGCCGGGCCACAGUGACCCCUGGGGCAGGGCAGGAGGGAGUAUAGGGAGCCAAAAUACAAGGUCACCCAGGGCACUAUUUUCCUUAAGGCCAGCUCUGAUAGUAUUUCCUUACCUCUACUGAAAAUAACACUCCUUAUGCGCCACAGGUUCACAUUAAUAGCUUAUAGUCAUCCCAAGACCAAAUAAUAACCCAAGGGUCCUUCUCCACCUCAGUCAUUUCUGACUGAUGGGCUCCCAACUUAUAGAGGUUUUGUUGUUCACCCUCAAGUUCCUAACCUUGCAUUCUGUGUUACUCGAUUCCAUUUUUUCCACCCCCAUCCUCAAACUCAUCUCAUUCUUUAUGUAGGCUAUCCAAAUCCUCUGCUUUAUCUUAUUACCAUGCUCCUGCUUUGUGCGCCAAAGCCAUCAAUGAAAAAUAUGUACCUGUUCAAGCCUAAAACAAAUCUUUGGGAACUCUGCUAGUAACAUCUCUACAACCUGAUGUUUCCCCCAUUUCAAACGCUUUACACUUCUGGCCAUACAUGAGCCAGCUCCUUACAAUUCCUUGUUUUCUUCAGCUUAACACAAUUUCCUCAUGUGGCACUGUAUCAACUGCUUUUGCAAAAGCCAUCAAAACAUGGGAUUUGACAGUCAUUUGUUCAUGGGAAUUCAGGGUAGAAUUUGAAUUUGCCUUUACUUUAUUAUAACUACUGAAGUGCCUGGAAACUUUCAACACAAGGUGCGUUGGCCUUGCCCUACUCCAGCCCAUGACUUUAAUGGCUUGGACACAGCACAAUUCUAUUGUUGUAAAGAGAGAAGUUUGGGUGUGGGUUGUACAAGCCCAAGCUGGUGAAGUUUACUCCAAUCAGGUGUACAGUGACCCUGGUGGUGGUAGGGGAACCUACACUAGAUUACAGCUAAAAAAAAAGAAAACAACAAAAAAAAAAAUAGAUGCAACCAUAAACAGCUUUAAAAAGGGGUGGGAGAGUUACCCACAUCAGCACUUAUCUGUUCCACCUACAAAGAUAGGGGUGACCUAAACUGCUGUAAUCUGCUUUCUUUCAAGGCUAAAGCUACAAUGGUUUUGCUGCACUUGUAUUGCUAUAGGAGUAUGUGGACAUAACAGUUCAUAACAAAUUAUAUAUCACUGUCAUUUGAUACCGAUAAGGUAGCUAUAUCUGGCGACACCCUACAUUACACUAGCAUAGGUGUCAUCUGUUCAAACUUUUCCUUGGAUGAGUCAUUUACUUAAUGUGAACAGAUUAGAAUCUGUUUGCUCAACACCUACUAUUAAGAUGCUGUAGGCUGCUAUUAUUGCAUGUAGCUACCCCAAGACAGCUGUACAUCUGUUUGUUCCAGGAUACAGCAUAAAUUUACAUAAGUAUCAAAUCAAUCAAUCAAUGCAAGUGACACUGGUGUAAUUAUAUUGUCCGUCUAGGUCCUUAAAAGAAUGGUUAUGGUUUCCUCCCUACAUUAUUCUCUUGUAGGAGAUGAUGGACCUUUUCCUCAGGAUGGAUUGACCCAAGGUGUCCCACCUGACACAGUUUGAUUCUUCGGGAGUAAGAAGCCUCCAGCAGAUCCGGCUGGUCAGUUUACAGUCAGAUUUUGUUUUGGAUCAAGUUCUGAUUUUUGCUUCAUCUUCAAUUAAGCCAGUUCUGAGGGAUUGUUUUCCGAGAGGGGAAUACUGAAUUUCCUGUUGUCUCUACCCAACCCCUUCCAUACAUGCAAUGUGUAUUACUGCAAAAGUUAUCGUGGAAAUGCUUAAUAUUUUCCAAACAAAGAACAGCUGUACUAUGUCUUAGGAAAAGUAAAGCAUUGUCCCUUAUUUAACAACUAUUCCAACACUUCUAGAAGGACUUGUUUACAUCUGGUUAUUUCUAUGUCCCCUACCUGUUGAAACAGUAGGUAAACUCUCUUCCCAAAUACUCGGGCUAGUUGCAGUGGAUCUGCAAGAUGCACCCUUCCCAGUGUCUGUCUAGUGGUCCUGUUGUUUAGUCUUAAAUGCACCUUUCACUUCAUAUAUUGCCCAUGUUUGGUUAUCUAUAUUUUGCAUUGGCUUUACAGUCCGUAAGGGGUGCCUUUUUCCAGUUGAUUGUUUAUUAUUGGAGUCCACUAUAGGAUGAGACGCGUGAUUCUUGGCUAGCCAGUUUAAUUGAUCAAGACCAUUUUAAAAUUGAACUCAGGGGAACAGCAGGAUGGGAAGGGGAAGGAUGUUUUUGCUAUUCAGUCAGGCUACAAUUAAAUACCAAUUAUUCUUUCCAUAAGGUGACAAAAAAUUCUGAAACAUUUCAAUGAAAAUAGUGCAUUGAUAACACUUCACAUUAAACUGCUGACAGCAGUCAAUUAACCAUACUUUUGUAAUUUCUGCUCUGCAGCCUGAAAUUGUUACUUUAGAUGCAUUUGAUGUAUUACUAUUUAUAUAUCUUUUAGCAGGCCUGUGCAUGUGGGAGACACUAAUGGACUGAUUAAAGUUCAUCCCCCAUCUCUACGCCUGUGAGGUACAUGUCAGUUGACAGGUUUGGACAAGAUAUUAACCAGAAUACAGGGAGGGAAACUAUGGAAAAACACAGAAGCAUUGUGAGCAGAGAAGGUGACAACAUCUCAUCAACAUGCAAAACCUAUUACUGCGCAGCACAAUCAUAAAUGAAUCACGUCUGAAUGACUUCUACCUCUUUUGGGAUCAAAACAUCUGUGAAUACUUAUGCUCAACAAAUGCUCC